rfam:Oryza glaberrima chromosome 10 Oglab10_0128_7, whole genome shotgun sequence.
AAUGUUUGACACCAUUGAUUUUUUAGCACAUGUUUGACCGUUUGUCUUAUUCAAAAAAUUUAAGCAAUUAUUAAUUCUUUUCCUAUCAUUUGAUUCGUUGUUAAAUAUAUUUUUAUGUAGGCAUAUAAUUUUACAUAUUUCACAAUAGUUUUUAAAUAAGACGAACGGUCAAACAUGUGCUAAAAAGUCAACGGUGUCAAACAUU